rnacentral:tRNA from 1 species
AGCUCAAUGGUGGAGCAACCGGCUGUUAACCGGUAGGCUGUGGGUUCGAGCCCCACC